ensembl:ncRNA F28F9.13 ncRNA
CUCACAUGAAAAAAGACAGAAACCCGCGGACUGUCGUUGUCAACAUGUAUCAAACUGAAGCAGGUGGGCAUCAUCUUCCGACGUGAUCCGGCGACCAUAUACCUGCAAAAUUGGGUCA